rnacentral:tRNA from 1 species
GGGUUGGUAGCUCAGUGGUAGAGCAACCGGCUUUUAACCGAUUGGUCGAGGGUUCGAUCCCCUCCCAACCCA